CUUGUGGAGUACAAUCUGUCUUGGAGCAUCAGUGUAUUGAAUUUCCCAGACACUGGAUUCCUUGACCCACAGAGAAGUGCUUCCCCUGAAGCUGUGCUCUCUUAAUCUUCUGGGCCUAUCUGUAGGCAUCUGGCAGGAGAAGUGGCUAAGGAGUGGCAGGAGCUGGAUGACGCAGAGAAGGUCCAGCGGGAGCCUCUGCUCACUCUAGUGAAGGAAAUCAUCCCCUAUAACAUGGCCCACAAUGCAGAGCAUGAGGCUUGCGACCUGCUUAUGGAAAUUGAGCAGGUGGACAUGCUGGAGAAGGACAUUGAUGAAAAUGCAUACGCAAAGGUCUGCCUUUAUCUCACCAGUUGUGUGAAUUAUGUGCCUGAGCCUGAGAACUCAGCCCUACUGCGUUGUGCCCUGGGUGUGUUCCGGAAGUUUAGCCGCUUCCCUGAAGCUCUGAGAUUGGCAUUGAUGCUCAAUGACAUGGAGUUGGUAGAAGACAUCUUCACCUCCUGCAAGGAUGUGGUAGUACAGAAACAGAUGGCAUUCAUGCUAGGCCGGCAUGGGGUGUUCCUGGAGCUGAGUGAAGAUGUCGAGGAGUAUGAGGACCUGACAGAG
rnacentral:sRNA from 1 species